rnacentral:pre_miRNA from 8 species
GCGCUAUUUGACCUUGCUGGACCCCCGGUCAGUUUUGCUGGUUUGCAUUCAGCUUUUAAGACUGUGCGCUGUGCAAAUCCAUGCAAAACUGAUUGUGGCAGCACACUUCUUAAGCACUUGUU